rnacentral:ncRNA from 2 species
AUGGUGUCCCGCGGAGCUGGUUCGGCUGCCCAUCCAGGGCGGCCGAGGCAAGAGGGAAUCCGGUGCGAGACCGGAACUGCCCCGCAGCGGUGAGUGGGAACGACCGCCGUCAACGAGCACUGGGCCACCCGGCCUGGGAAGCGACGGCCAGUAGGCACGCGUGAGACGCCCACGAGUCCGAAGACCUGCCAGCACGCCGUCCGCGGC